ACGUAUAUUUUUUGUCUUUUUUUUUUUUUUCUUGCGAUAUAAUUAGGAAGUAAUUGUAGUAAUUAAAUCGAUUAUGAACAUGAGAUUGGUAUACAUAUUUGUGAGCUACGAUGAUUGAUCAUAAUAAUAAGACGACGAUUAUAGUAAGACAAUGAUGAGGAUGAUAAUGAGGACAGUUAUGAUUAUUAUUAUUAUUAUAAUUACGAUCAUUAUUAUAUUAUUACUCCUAUUACUACUAUUACGAAUGACGACGAGAAUAGUUUUUAUUGUCUUAUAAACGUAAACGGAAUACAAUGUAGCGGAGUUGUUUGUUUUAUCUCUCUCUCUCUCUCUCACUUUCACUCUCUUUC